UUUUUUUCUAGGAGUUACGCUCCUUUGAACUUAUUUACUUUAAUGUACUACUGCAACAGUUUUGUCAUCGCAACUCCUCUCAAACCACACAACAGAAUUUCACGAAACCUUUUCAGAUAAUAAGGACAUACUAUGUAGUUGUGCAUAUCGACGGGAAAUUGCGAUUCAAUUUUUUUUCUAGGAGUUACCCCCCUUUGAACUUAUUUACUUUAAUGUACUACUGCAACAGUUGUCAUCGCAACUCCUCUCAAACCACACAACAGAAUUUCAUGAAACUUUGUAGAUAAUAAGGACAUACUAUGUAGAUGUGCAUAUCAACAGGAAAUUACGGUUCAAUUUUUUUUCUAGGAGUUAUGCCCCUUUGAACUUAUUUGCUUCAAUGUACUUCUGCAACAGUUUGUCAUCUCAACUCCUCUGAAAACACACAACAGAAUUUCAUGAAAUUUUGUAGAUAAUAAGAC
rnacentral:lncRNA from 1 species